AUGCCGGACAAAAUGAUUCGCACAAAACCUAAAGUCAAACUUCGAGAUAAGAUAACUGGACAUGCGCAGAGACAGCUUCAAAAUCCAAACUAUAUAAUCAAACAUGACAUGGCUAAACGUAUCAAAUUGACAACGAUUGAAACGCCUGCAGACGUUUCUCAGGCAGUUUGCUGCAUUCACGUUAUGGAAAACUGCUCCAAGAUUAGAUUUUAAGUAUAGUUACCGCUAGUUAAAGUAGAA